rnacentral:tRNA from 1 species
ACUAUUUUGGCAGAUAAGAUGUAUUAGAUUUAGGAUCUAACUAAAUAGAGUUAAUCUAUAAGUAGUA